GCGGAGGAAAAGAAAAUAACAAUGAUUUCCCUAGUAACGGCGAGUGAAGAGGAAAGAGCUCAAAGUUGGAACCUGUUUGGCUUAGCUAAACCGGAUUGUAAACUGUAGAAACAUUUUCCAGGUACACUAGACAAAAAAGUCCUUUGGAACAGGGCAUCAUAGAGGGUGAGAAUCCCGUCUUUGGUCUAAGUAGUUGCCUAUUGUGAUAUGUUUUCAAAGAGUCAGGUUGUUUGGGAAUGCAGCCUAAAUUGGGUGGUAAAUCUCACCUAAAGCUAAAUAUUUGCGAGAGACCGAUAGCGAACAAGUACCGUGAGGGAAAGAUGAAAAGAACUUUGAAAAGAGAGUUAAACAGUAUGUGAAAUUGUUAAAAGGGAACCGUUUGGAGCCAGAUUGGCUUGAUUGUAAUCAACCUAGAAUUCGUUUUGGGUGCACUUGCAGUCUAUGCCUGCCAACGACAGUUUGAUUUGGAGGAAAAAAUUAAUAGGAAUGUGGCCUUUCGAGGUGUUAUAGCCUAUUAUCAUACUCUGGAUUGGACUGAGGAUCGCAGUGAAUGCCUUUAGGCAAGAUUGCUGGGCGCUUUCGCUAAUAAAUGUUAGAAUUUCUGCUUCGGGUGGUGCUAAUGUUUAAAGGAGGAACCCGUUUAGUAUAUUUUUUAUUCGCUUAGGUUGUUGGCUUAAUGACUCUAAAUGAC
rnacentral:rRNA from 1 species